rnacentral:rRNA from 1 species
GACGAACGCUGGCGGCGUGCUUAACACAUGCAAGUCGAGCGGUAAGGCCCUUUCGGGGGUACGACGAGCGGCGAACGGGUGAGUAACACGUGGGUGACCUGCCCUCAGCUCUGGGAUAAGCCCGGGAAACUGGGUCUAAUACCGGAUAUGACUUCAUGACGCAUGUUGUGGAGUGGAAAGCCUUGUGCGGCUGAGGAUGGGCCCGCGGCCUAUCAGCUUGUUGGUGGGGUGAUGGCCUACCAAGGCGACGACGGGUAGCCGGCCUGAGAGGGCGACCGGCCACACUGGGACUGAGAUACGGCCCAGACUCCUACGGGAGGCAGCAGUGGGGAAUAUUGGACAAUGGGCGCAAGCCUGAUCCAGCCAUGCCGCGUGAGUGAUGAAGGCC